GGGGAUAAAUAAAUUCAACUCUUACCGGAAUCUGGGGGGCGUCUGCGAGAGACCGGGGGAAAGGGGGGCCGGGCGCCCAUUCCCCACUCCCCACUCCUAGGCCCUGACGCCCCUGUCCCGGCAGCCCGGGCCUGCCGCCCCGCGGGAGAGCCUCCGGGCCGGCGCGGGAUUCGGCCCCGCAGCGCCGCUGUCCCACCUGGAGGCCCCGGGGGACUCGAGGGGGCGCGCGGAGGCCCGGGGUGCGGGGGCAGGGCGCGGCCCCCGUGGGGCCUACCGGCCCGAGGCCUACCGGCGCCCCCCCAUCUCGCCGCACACCCCCACCUGGCCCGCGCAGGCCGCACCGCUCGCCCCACUCCGGCUCCGGCUGGACCCCUGCCCGCCCGCCGUCGCCGCCCGCGGGCGCCCCAGAGGCCCUCAGGCCCCCGGCCUCCACCACCCGGGCGCCGGCCCCACUCACCCUUUCAUUCUCCGCCCGGGGCCUGGCGUGGGCCGGCGAAUCCCCGGCCUCACAUCAGAGUGAGAGGCGCUGGCAAUGGACUAGGAAGCUCGGCUGCCGCUGCUACUGCUCCCCCCUGGGCUCCGGCGAGAGCCUUUCCCUGUCAAGCAAGAGGGGUGAGGAUCAUAUUUUUAUUUUGGAAACUAAAAAGUGCUCCCAGGGUCGGUGAUUAUUAAGGGGAAAUCCCUGAAUAUACUCUCCAGCCAAGAAGGCAGGGCUGCCGGGGCUGUACAAGAAGAGGCAGCAGCCUCCUACAGCACCACUACAGGCACUGCGAGGACAUAACACCAGAGAGCUGCUCCUCUGCCCUCCGAAACGACAACUUUCCUACCAUCUUGGAGGCAGAGCAAAGGGGGGCCAGGGGGAAAAGUGCACCCGCUCCCGAUAAAGUACAAAUUUUUACUCCUCAUCUCUGGAAAAAAGUCCACACCGGCAGUCUACACCGGCGCCUGGGGGAGAAAGCAGGGAAGAAACUGGGGGUGCAUGAGAAACGUUUUCAUUUGCUCCAGGGGGAAAAAUGUUUCUGCAUCUUCUGAUGGAAAGAAAUCAUUACAAGACACAGGUUUUCCGGUGAUUACUGUUUUCUGUUUUCUAAUUUUUUUCAUGUUAGUGACAGUGAUAUUUUAAUAUUUUUUCAGGCCAAUAAUAAUCUUUCUCCAUUACAGGGCUAAGUUCUGUGGCUGGUGGUCAGUUUGUAAAUUUGUACUUAAAGAGACUUAAUAGUAACUUCAUUUAUUUGUCUAGUUAUGUUAUUGUAUAUAUAAAUAUUUACAUGUUUUCAUAUAUUGCAUAUGAAAAUUUGUUACAUGUUACUCUCAAAACUGAGAUUGCUGUAAGACUAAUUGUAAAAAACAUGUCUUUCGUCUCUGUCUCAAAGCAAUGUAAAUAAAACCUAUGGACUGUCCA
rnacentral:lncRNA from 1 species